rnacentral:rRNA from 1 species
AUACGUAGGGGGCGAGCGUUGUCCGGAAUGAUUGGGCGUAAAGGGCGCGUAGGCGGCCCGGUAAGUCUGGAGUGAAAGUCCUGUUUUUAAGAUGGGAAUUGCUUUGGAUACUGUCGGGCUUGAGUGCAGGAGGGGUAAGUGGAAUUCCCAGUGUAGCGGUGAAAUGCGUAGAGAUUGGGAGGAACACCAGUGGCGAAGGCGACUUACACGACUGUAACUGACGCUCAAGCGCGAUAGUGUGCGGAGAAAACAGGAUGAGAUACACGGGUAGUCCACGCUGUGACCGAUGAAUGCAAGGUGGAGGUGGGAUCGACCCCUUCGGCGCCUAAGUCACAACAAUAAGCAUUACGGCUUGGGAGUUCGGCCUCACGGUGGAUACUCAAAGUAAUUGACUGGG